rnacentral:lncRNA from 1 species
UACCCAUUAAAGUAAUCUACUAUAACAUAACCAUGUCCAGUGCAGUAUUUAUCACUUUUAUGUGUUCAUCAAGCUACUCAACCUCAAGUAUUAAGUAUUAGUUAAAAAAUUUACAUGACCAGUAUAGGCAUUACUGCUAAAGCUUUUACAUGGCCAGUAUCGGCAUAACUCCCAAAACAAAAUUGGGGAGACAUAAGCAUGACAGUAUAGGCUAAAGCUACUAGUUAGCCAUUACAAAAUUAAAUUGCAAUCUAAUUAUUCCUGCAAUUACAAAUGAAUCAAACAGCAGCAGUAGCCCAGCAACAGCAUCAUUCAGUGAAAAACAAGCCCAACAUGGUGAUAGUGAUAGUGAUAUUCCAUGUGCACUUAUAGUGAUAUGCCUGGCAUGAAAAACAAAAUGUAUGUUAGUUUAAAACUCUAUAAUUAAAAUAUCCUUUAUAAGAGGAUUUUUACAAUCACCUAGAGAUGAAUAACUAUCAUUAUCUACACUCUACUAUGUUACUUAAUUUCUACCAACGUCAAUGCUCUGCUCCUACUGCUGGAUAUGGAGACGAAGGUUCAGUAUCAUUGUUAUUUGUUAGGUUAGUAUAUCAAUGGAACAUAAGGAUUUUUGGUUGUUACCAUUUUAAGAACUCUAAGCAAAAGGAUCUUACUUUAGAUAUGGCAAAUAAGAUCAAUUUUCAUUUACCCAACAACUCAAGUAAAUCAAACCAUCAUAACUUGGAGAAGCAAAAAAUCACAUUUACUUAAUUUACAGCACAAAAUGGGUACCAUGAACUGAUAAGAAUAAAUUCUCUUAUCCCGAUAAAAAAAAUAAACUGAAAAAAAUACAUAAAUUAAUAUUUUUCAGAAUUUGUUCCCAAAACUAAUUGAUUAGCAAGAGAAGAAUUGAGCUAAAACUAAAAUUUUGGUAUUGAUUUUUUAAAAGAAAAGUAAGGGUAGAAUCAUCUGGCGUUUACACCAUUUAUUUUCACAAUAAAUUUGUCUAAAAUAUUAAACAUUAAAAGAUGUAAUAGAUUUUUCAAUAUUCCUUGACAUGAUGUUAUUCAGACCAGAAGAAAAUUCCACAACAAUCCUGAUAUUUUUAGAGCUUAAACAAAAUGGGUACCUCGUCUUCUUAGACAGAAUCUACAGCACAAAAUGGUUUAUUAGACAGAAUCUACAGCACAAAAUGAGUACCUCAUCUUCUUCUUCAGGAUACCUCGUCUUCUUAGAACCAAACUGAAAACCCUAGCUGCUUCUAUGAUGGACCAAUCUUAGAACCAAACUGAAACAAAAUAUAAAGGGGCUUUGAGAGAAUCGGGGAAAGGGGUUUUCAAAUAUUGAGAGAGAAUCGGAAUUUUUGGGCAGAAGGGUUUGAGGUGAGAGAAUCGGAAGGGAUGGAGAGAAGCGAAUUUCAAUUGGAACUUGGAAGGGAUUACCAGUCAGUCUCUUUUUUAUGACCCGUGUUUAUGCUUUUGACCCGCGUGUCCCUUUGUCCGUAAAAUGAUCCGUCUAAUAGGUCCGCUUGAG